rnacentral:rRNA from 1 species
UGACCUCAGAUCAGACAAGGAUACCCGC